rnacentral:ncRNA from 1 species
CGAAAUCGGUAGACGCUACGGACUUAAAGAAUUUGAGCUUUAGUAGAAAAAUUUACUAAAUGUUAGCUUUCAAAUUCAGGAAAACUUAGGUUGAAAAAACAUAUAAGCAAUCCUGAGCCAAAUAUGUUAUUUUUUUAUGUUAUUUUGUAAAAAUAAAAAAUAUUAAAAAAUAGAAAAAUAGGUGCAGAGACUCGAUGGAAGCUAUCCAAAUGCAAAAAACUUUAAUAUUAUUUAAUUGAAAUUUAUACGUUAAUGGAAAUAAAAAAAUUUAACUAAAUUAUUGUUUAGUUAAAUAAUAAGUGAGGAUAAAGAUAGAGUCCAAAUUUAUAUGUUAAUGUUUUUAACAAUAAUUUAAAUUGUAGUAAAAAGAAAAUCCGUUGGUUUUAUUAACCGUGAGGGUUCAAGUCCCUCUACCCCCAAAAUUAUAAAUUUUUUUUAUUGACAUAAUUGUUUAGGUUAUGUUAAGAUAGUCCAAAUAAAAAGCCGGAAUAGCUCAGUUGGUAGAGCAGAGGACUGAAAAUCCUCGUGUCACCAGU